rnacentral:rRNA from 1 species
CACCACAACGGGUGGAGCUUGCGGUUUUAAUUGGAUUCAACGCCGGAAAUCCGUACCGGGACCGACAGCAAUAUGAAGGCCAGGCUGAAGACUUUGCCGGAUUAGCUGAGAGGUGGUGCAUGGCCGUCGUCAGUUCGUACUGUGAAGCAUCCUGUUAAGUCAGGCAACGAGCGAGACCCACGCCCACAGUUGCCAGCGUACUCUCUGGAGUGACGGGUACACUGUGGGACCGCCGCUGCUAAAGCGGAGGAAGGAAUGGGCAACGGUAGGUCAGUAUGCCCCGAAUAUCCCGGGCUACACGCGAGCUACAAUGGUUGGUACAAUGGGUAUCUACCCCGAAAGGGGACGGGAAUCUCCUAAAACCAAUCUUAGUUCGGAUUGAGGGCUGCAACUCGCCCUCAUGAAGCUGGAAUCCGUAGUAAUCGCGUUUCAACAGAACGCGGUGAAUACGUCCCUGCUCCUU